AGGAAGCAGAAAACAGACACACCGCUAAAUGUUUUAAUCUGUCUGCGGGAAUUGCACUUUGCCAUGGUGGAGGAAGACAAACACCGCGUCCUCCGCACAGGCUCCGCGUCGCCCGGCACCGGGGAUGAGGACGACUGCGAAGGCUUUGACCAGUUCCAACCCCUGCUGCUCCCUUCACCUUUGCACCAUCGGUGGAUGUUCCUGCUCCAUCCUCCACAGGUCAUUGUACAUCUCUCCCCAUUUGGCAACAUUAAAUUUUAUUUACCAUAUGUCCCUUCUGCUACAAAGAUGAUAAAACCCUUUGGAUUGUUGUUGUUGCUGCUGCUAGCCCAUUCGGCGCUCACCUCGAUGCAGUGUCCUCGGCCAGCGGAGCUGAUUUGCUGUUGGUCCCAGUCUAGCAGAGGUCCAGGCUGGGACAGUGGCCAGGCUGCGCUCCAAACCUGCGCUCGCCUGCUGCUUUGUUUGAGAAGCACUUUGCCAGAUCCCAUCCCCUCAGGAGGCCCCUAACACCUCGGUGCUGGGAGAGAGCAUCAUAUGGACCUUUGGCAAAAGCACCAAGAGAACUGCCAAGAAAAUCCUUUGUACAUAGUUAUUCUUCAUUUUUUGUUCAUACUCUUGAAAAUACAUCCCCUUGUUGAUUAUGCCAAUCACUGCCAUUAUACCUGGGGUUAAUGUGCGUUUCAAGCAGCCCACGGCUGCAGAAAAGCGGAACCACAACGCCGGAAUAAUACCCCUGGCCAGAUGGACUUUGCCCCAGCCCUGCUCUGCCCAGGGGGGUUGCUGCCAGGGCGGCGUCGGGGCCGGUGGAGCCGGUACAAACGGGGAGGAGGAGCAACGCAGCUUUGGAUGCCGUGAAAGAACUGACAGCAGCCAAAGCCAGAGUCGGGGAGCUCCAACACGCUGCCUUCUGUCCCUACAGCCAGAGCCGCAGCUGCAUUGUAGGCUCUGUGUUCACUUGGAGAAGGCAAUCCUGCCCACUUUUUACCUAAGCUCGUGCUUCCCUCCUAUUAUGUUUAAAUUAAAAUCCAUCAGACCAUUAUAGCGCUCAUGAAUGAGUGAAAUGCAAAAUGCUGGGACACCGGGCUUUGCUGCUGCAUUCAAAUAUAUCUGGAAGCAAUGGCUUAAAAUUGUUUCCACCUUCAACCACACCAGGAGGUGAUUUUGAGAUCCCCUGUGGAAUACUAACACUUACUUCUACAAGUCUUUUAAUUUUCAGUCACUGAAAGGGCGGAGUUUGAGACGCAGCUGGUGCUCCUUUUAACAAAAUAAUAAUAAUGUCUCACUUUCGUAACAUCUUUCAAUUCAAAGGGUCUCAAACCGAGUCCCCCAUCUUCCUGAGAGCAUCACACACCAGCGCUGGGAGCCUCAGCGGGCUCUGCACGGACCAGCGAGCCCGUUUACACGAUUGCCUCCAGGAUAAGGCCUGACCUGCCAGAGCCGGGCACCUCAUGUUGACUUUUGCUUCCCAAGAACGGCCCAUUUUGCAAAUGCCACUAUUGAAGUGCCACGGCUGCUGGGUCAGGACACCAGAAACUGAACCUCCGCAGUGCGGCUGCACAAUCUGUGGUGGCCAUGCCCGAGUCGGCAUGGCACACGGCAGCACCCGGGGCAGGCGUCACCCCCUCUACAGACACCCGGCAAAGCUCCGUUGUGCUCCGGGCAGAGAUGCCGAGGUCCGAUGGGACAGUUCUGGCCAUGGGCCCAUCCCCACCGGCCCCCACCGAUCUAUGGAGAACCAGACUUGAAGAGAUCUCAAAUUAAAGGUGUUGGUGUGUUUGGGAGCAUGUUUGGCGGAGCCGCGUCCCUGCGGUGCGCACAUCCCGCGCUGCCACCCCCACCAUGGCGACUGGGGAGGGGACACAGGCCCUCGUGCACCGGGGCGAGCAGAGGGGAACCCGCAGCCCCGGGACGGGCUGAACCCCGUCUGAGGUGCUGAGCACCCCGUGUCUCGCUGGCAGAGGCGCUGGGCUCAGCCGCGGCCGCGUGCCACAGCCGGGGGACUGCUCACACCGCCGCACCGCCGGCUCUGCAGGGGUUAUUUUUCUAACGUUUCCUCAUGAAAGCUGCUCUCUGUUUAGAAAUCCUGUGGCUAACAGCCUGUUGUGGUCCUCACAUCUCCGCUGGUCAGACAAGUAUCUUCCCCCUGUCCCCGGCGCCCUCUAUUUCUCACACCUCACUGAGCAGGCACCGCCGCGCCGAGACCUCUGACCGAGUUGUCAAGGUGACGGGUGCUGUUAUCCUAAAGUAGUUAUUUCACAUACAUGGUAUUUUGUCCCUUGCUUUUAUUGAAAUACAGAGGAGAGACCAAUUAUCUUCCUAAUGGUUUGCACAGCUUCCUUCUUCUUUUAAAUGGGAGUUAAUGACAAACAGUUUGGGCAGGGUGUCAUUUUUGCACGGGGAGCUCUCAGGCGUCCUCUGCUUUCCAGGUGUCCGGGGGCACAGGGCAGCUCCCCUCGCACGCUCUGCCGAGCCCUCCUCACACAGCCGUUAUCACCAAUUUUCUCCUCCCCGCUCAGCCCCUGCAAAAUGAAAAUGUUUUCCUAAAUGCCGCAG